GACGUAGGGCGCGAGCGUUGUCCGGAUUUAUUGGGCGUAAAGAGCUCGUAGGCGGCUUGUUGCGUCGGCUGUGAAAACCCGCAGCUCAACUGUGGGCUUGCAGCUGAUACGGGCAGGCUUGAGUUCGGUAGGGGAGACUGGAAUUCCUGGUGUAGCAGUGAAAUGCGUAGAGAUCGUAAGGAAGGCCAGUGGCGAAGGCGAGUUCCUGGACAGUUACUGACGCUGAGGCACGAAGGCCAGGGGAGCAAACGGG
rnacentral:rRNA from 1 species